rnacentral:rRNA from 1 species
UACGGAAGGCAGCAGUAGGGAAUCUUCCGCAAUGGACGAAAGUCUGACGGAGCAACGCCGCGUGAACGAUGAAGGCUUUCGGGUCGUAAAGUUCUGUUGUUAGGGAAGAACAAGUACCGGAGUAACUGCCGGUACCUUGACGGUACCUAACCAGAAAGCCACGGCUAACUACGUGCCAGCAGCCGCGGUAAUACGUAGGUGGCAAGCGUUGUCCGGAAUUAUUGGGCGUAAAGCGCGCGCAGACGGUCCUUUAAGUCUGAUGUGAAAGCCCACGGCUCAACCGUGGAGGGUCAUUGGAAACUGGGGACUUGAGUGCAGAAGAGGAGAGUGGAAUUCCACGUGUAGCGGUGAAAUGCGUAGAGAUGUGGAGGAACACCAGUGGCGAAAGGCGACUCUCUGGGUCUGUAACUGACGCUGAGGCGCGAAAGCGUGGGGAGCGAACAGGGAUUAGGAUACC